rnacentral:lncRNA from 12 species
AGAACGCAAGCGGCUGCAGUGGAAAGAAUCACUGACACAAGUUUGGCAUGCUUUUCUGUAAGCAGUAGAAGAACACUCUGCCUGCACUGCAGGCAUGAUAAUCAGCAUAUCCCAUGGGCUAGAAGUGUGUCGCUUCUCUGUUUAUGAGAAUUCUAGAAGUUCCUUACUGGUGCUACUGAAUGGUUUGAAUUUGCUUUUAUCCUCCAGAACAAUCCAUCAGGC